GAUGAACGCUGGCGGCGUGCCUAAUACAUGCAAGUCGAGCGAACAGACGAGGAGCUUGCUCCUCUGACGUUAGCGGCGGACGGGUGAGUAACACGUGGAUAACCUACCUAUAAGACUGGUAUAACUUCGGGAAACCGGAGCUAAUACCGGAUAAUAUAUUGAACCGCAUGGUUCAAUAGUGAAAGACGGUUUUGCUGUCACUUAUAGAUGGAUCCGCGCCGCAUUAGCUAGUUGGUAAGGUAACGGCUUACCAAGGCAACGAUGCGUAGCCGACCUGAGAGGGUGAGCGGCCACACUGGAACUGAGACACGGUCCAGACUCCUACGGGAGGCAGCAGUAGGGAAUCUUCCGCAAUGGGCGAAAGCCUGACGGAGCAACGCCGCGUGAGUGAUGAAGGUCUUCGGAUCGUAAAACUCUGUUAUUAGGUAAGAACAAAUGUGUAAGUAACUAUGCACGUCUUGACGGGACCUAAUCAGAAAGCCACGGCUAACUACGUG
rnacentral:rRNA from 1 species